GAUGAAGAACGCAGCGAAAUGCGAUAAGUAAUGUGAAUUGCAGAAUUCAGUGAAUCAUCGAAUCUUUGAACGCACCUUGCACCCUUUGGACUGCUCCAAAGGGUAUGCUCGUUUGAGUGUCAUUGUACUCUCACACUCUCUGAUCCUUUGGAUUUGGGGAGCGGUGGACUUGGGUGUUGCUGCCUUUCCUUGUGGCUCACCUCAAAUGUGUCAGUGCACCUCUUGGUUGGACAUAGUACGGCGUGAUAAGUGUCUUCGCCGGCACCUCGCAAGAGGGUGGCCGAUCGGGAGCUCUGUGCUUUCAAACCGUCUUCGGACAAUUUCUGACAACUUGACCUCAAAUCGAGUAGGACUACCCGCUGAACUUAAGCAUAUCAAUAAGCGGAGGA
rnacentral:misc_RNA from 1 species